rnacentral:rRNA from 1 species
CCUACGGGAGGCAGCAGUGGGGAAUAUUGGACAAUGGGGGGAACCCUGAUCCAGCGACGCCGCGUGAGUGAAGAAGUAUUUCGGUAUGUAAAGCUCUAUCAGCAGGGAAGAAAGAGAUGACGGUACCUUACUAAGAAGCCCCGGCUAACUACGUACCAGCAGCCGCGGUAAUACGGAGGGGGCAAGCGUUAUCCGGAUUUACUGGGUGUAAAGGGAGCGUAGACGGCGAUGCAAGUCUGAAGUGAAAGGCGGGGGCCCAACCCCCGGCCUGCUUUGGAAACUGGAUGGCUGGAGUGCAGGAGAGGUAAGUGGAAUUCCUAGUGUAGCGGUGAAAUGCGUAGAUAUUAGGAGGAACACCAGUGGCGAAGGCGGCUUACUGGACUGUAACUGACGUUGAGGCUCGAAAGCGUGGGGAGCAAACAGGAUUAGAGACCCCAGUAGUC